UACGGAGGGUGCAAGCGUUAUCCGGAUUUAUUGGGUUUAAAGGGUCCGUAGGCGGGACAAUAAGUCAGAGGUGAAAUCCUGCAGCUCAACUGUAGAACUGCCUUUGAUACUGUUGUUCUUGAGUACACUUGAAGUGGGCGGAAUGUGUCAUGUAGCGGUGAAAUGCUUAGAUAUGACACAGAACACCGAUUGCGAAGGCAGCUCACUAAAUUGUAACUGACGCUGAGGGACGAAAGCGUGGGUAGCGAACAGG
rnacentral:rRNA from 1 species